rnacentral:rRNA from 1 species
UGGGGAAUAUUGGACAAUGGGCGCAAGCCUGAUCCAGCAACGCCGCGUGGAGGACGAAGGUCUUCGGAUCGUAAACUCCUGUCAGACGGGACGAAGGUGCGCGGGUGAAUAAUCCGUGUACUUGACGGUACCGUCAGAGGAAGCCCCGGCUAACUCCGUGCCAGCAGCCGCGGUAAUACGGAGGGGGCGAGCGUUAUUCGGAAUUAUUGGGCGUAAAGGGCGCGUAGGCGGCUUGGCAAGUCAAAGGUGAAAUCCCUCGGCUCAACUGAGGAACUGCCUUUGAAACUGCUUGGCUCGAGUCCGGGAGGGGGUAGCGGAAUUCCCAGUGUAGCGGUGAAAUGCGUAGAUAUUGGGAGGAACACCAGUGGCGAAGGCGGCUACCUGGACCGGUACUGACGCUGAUGCGCGAAAGCGUGGGUAGCAAACAGG